GCCUCCGUGGCCUAAUGGAUAUGGCACCGGCCUCCUAAGCCGGGUAUUGCGGGUUCGAGUCCCGCCGGAGGUU
rnacentral:tRNA from 1 species